CCUAGUGUGGCAGGAUCUGGAAAGUAAAUUUCCAUGUGCUGGCCCGAGGUAGCAAAGUCUGGAAAGUGCUAAAGGUCUAAGCCCUUUCAUCAGAGGUUCAAAUCCUCUCCCCGGCU
rnacentral:tRNA from 1 species